GAUGUCAAAUCAUCAUGCCCCUUAUGUCUUGGGCUUCACACGUGCUACAAUGGCUCAUACAAUGUGAAGCGAAGCAGCAAUGCGGAGCGAACCACAAAAAGAGCCUCAGUUCGGAUUGCAGGCUGCAACUCGCCUGCAUGAAGUUGGAAUCGCUAGUAAUCGCGAAUCAGCAUGUCGCGGUGAAUACGUUCCCGGGCCUU
rnacentral:rRNA from 1 species